GCAGGAGCGGUUGCAGUUAAUUCACGCCUCCAGCCUUACGGCGCUGACUGAUAUUACCCCGCGCACGCAGCUUAGAAGCAGCCAUCAUUUAAAGAAAGCGUAAUAGCUCACUGGUCGAGUCGUCCUGCGCGGAAGAUGUAACGGGGCUAAACCAUGCACCGAAGCUGCGGCAGCGACGCUUAUGAGUUGUUGGGUAGGGGAGCGUUCUGUAAGCCUGCGAAGUUGUGCUGUGAGGCAUGCUGGAGGUAUCAGAAGUGCGAAUGCUGACAUAAGUAACGAUAAA
rnacentral:rRNA from 1 species